AGAGAGAGACAGCGCGCAUAUCAAUAAGCGGAGGAAAAGAAACUAACAAGGAUUCCCCUAGUAACGGCGAGUGAAGCGGGAAGAGCUCAAAUUUGAAAUCUUAAAGGGUUUCCCUUUACGAAUUGUAGUUUAAAGAAGUGUUUUCUGUUGAGGUUUUGGUAAAAGUUCUUUGGAAUAGGACAUCAUAGAGGGUGAGAAUCCCGUAUUUGACCUUUACUUUCAACUUUGUGAUACACUUUCAAAGAGUCGGAUUGUUUGGGAAUGCAGUCCAAAAUGGGUGGUAAAUUUCAUCUAAAGCUAAAUAUUGGCGAGAGACCGAUAGCGAACAAGUACCGUGAGGGAAAGAUGAAAAGAACUUUGAAAAGAGAGUUAAACAGUACGUGAAAUUGUCAAAAGGGAAGCGUUUGACACCAGUGUUGUUUUUCUGAAAAUCAAUUAAAGAACUGUUUAUGCUAAGUUGUUUAGACUUUAUCAGCUAACUGUUUAGUUUUGAGCUUUUCUUUAAUGCACUUUUCAGUUAACAAGUCAACAUCAAUUUCUUUUGCUGUAAAAAAGCUUGAGGAAGGUGGCUUGAGAUUCGUCUUAAGUGUUUAUAGCCUCUUGCCUAUGCAGUCGGAGAGAUUGAGGUCUGCAGCGUAGAUCCUUCGGGGCUAAAUGCAUUUGUGCUAAGUUAUAGCAUUUUAUAGACAACUUGUUGACUAUGAUUUGUCUUGUAGCUUACUCGCUUAUGUUAUUUUACCUACGCUUAGGAUGUUGAAGACUCUACAGAGAUA
rnacentral:rRNA from 1 species